rnacentral:siRNA from 1 species
GUUGUGUGGUUUGGUUGCUCCCA